rnacentral:lncRNA from 1 species
AAAGAUUUGGUUUUUACAGAUAAAUAUUUAUAGUUCUCGUUGUUUUAAAUCUUUUGUAUAAAUUUUGAGAUAUAUUUACUACCUUUGACCAUUUGGUUAAAGGUAUACAAGUCGUACGUGUUAUUCUCGCCCGCGAAAGCCAAACAAAACCUCGAGAAAUGUGGGAAAAGAGUAUAAUUUAAAGACGAUACUUGAGUCGGGUAAAAGGUAGGAGAUGUCUAGUCAAUUUUACUCAUUCUUUAUCUUAUUUGACAUGAAAUUGGUAAGCCUAACGAUGAAAUACACUUCAUUUGUUAAGAAAACAAGCUUUCAGCUUUCUACAGUCCAAAUUUCAUAUUGUAAGGUGUAAAAUUUCCCAUUAUUUUAACAAGCUGUAUUCACAAAUAUUUAGUUCUAUGUAAACAACACAGAUUUGAUAUUCACAAAUUUGUACGAUGGUAUACGUCUAAACUCACUAAAGUGCAAACUAUCUUGUGUAAUAAUGUUAAAAAGGUUGACUGCAGAGACCUGAGGUCUCGUUUUAUUACUUUUAUAAACAUACACUUGAUGAAACUAUGUGUUUGUAGGUUUGAGUUUAAUAUGCACCAACUUUUGUAUAAGUUACUGGGGGUACUGGAAGCUAGCUUAUCCAGGAAGGUAGACUAAGUAGUUUCUGUCUACCUAUAAAAUACUGAUUGGGGACACUUUUUGUGUCAUUAUACACCUGAUUAUAAACUCCUUAAGCUUUAAGCACCAGUGCUCUUCCCUUGACAAGUGAAAUUGUUUGUUUAUCAAUUUAUAUAAAAUAGGGUGCACUAGUCUAAGGUACAAUGCAACUUUUAAAACAGUUUAAUGAAAGCAUUCCUAAGCAGCAUUGUAUGUAGACCUUUAAGAUAGGAAUAAACCUGCAGCUAUCAGUGAUUCUGAUGCAGUGUUCAAACCAAUUUAUACUGAUCAGCUACUGUGUCGAGCUGUAAUUGCAAAUUAAUUCAUGUAAAUAUCAUAAGGUGAAGCCUGUAGUAAGGGUAAAUGUCAGGAUUUUGGACAUCACACUCAACAGAUUGUUAAAUAUCAAAGGUAGCGUCACUAGACAAAUAUUUUAAGUGUCAAUUUUAUGCAUAUUUAGACCUAACCAACCUAAAAAAUAUAGUUGCAUCUUUUGGAGCUGCUUUAACCAGGUCUAAAAAUGUACAAAAUUUACACUCAAAGUUUUCAUCGAUCUACAAAAAUCCUUCAACAUUUAGUGAUGUACAUCAGCAUUGCCAUGUAAAACCCUUUUCUCACCAAACAUGCUCUUACUGCAUGUAAUAGUUGGUGCAUGGUCAACAUAGGAAUAUUUGCACAAGAAUAGACAUUACCUCUCAAUUCUAUAUUUUUCUCAUACAGAAUACAUGGGUCUACUUCAUUAAAUUAAAUUAAUAUGUAGUUUUUAGAUAAUAAUUAAACUGCUUUAUAUUUUUUUAGACCAAGAAGUGUUCUCUUAAAUUAAGGGAGAGGUAUUGUCAGUGGCAAAUUUGAGGAAUCUGAUGCAUUGGUGGAAUAUUGCAUGUGCAUGGUCAUGAAAUUAUACUUCAAUGCUGCAAUCCUCAAGGUCUGAAAAUUGGAGGUUUUGUACCAACCUCUGCUAGGGCUUAAAUCAAGAUGUGCUUAAAUUAAGUAACACUACUAGUUUUGUAAAGAAAAUGAAACACUCUUGAUGACAUAUACUAGAUUUGUUGAAAUAGUUGAACUGAGGCAAUGAUAGCAAUUCAGGCAUUUUUGGGGAACAUUUUUAAAAAUGUACUUGUUUUUAAAGAGUAAAUUAUUUUAUAUUUGACCCAUAAUUUUCUCAGAACCAAUCCAAUAUUUAUCUUAUAUUUUCAGAGGUCAAGUAUUACUAACAGUGAUUUGAGCUCUAGGUGUGGA